UACGGAGGGAGCUAGCGUUGUUCGGAAUUACUGGGCGUAAAGCGUGCGCAGGCGGUUUUGUAAGUCUGUCGUGAAAUCCCCGGGCUCAACCUGGGAAUUGCGAUGGAGACUGCAAGGCUAGAAUCUGGCAGAGGGGGGUAGAAUUCCACGUGUAGCAGUGAAAUGCGUAGAGAUGUGGAGGAACACCGAUGGCGAAGGCAGCCCCCUGGGUCAAGAUUGACGCUCAUGCACGAAAGCGUGGGGAGCAAACAGG
rnacentral:rRNA from 1 species